rnacentral:rRNA from 1 species
GACGAACGCUGGCGGCGUGCCUAACACAUGCAAGUCGAACGGAGUUAAUGAUUUCGGUUAUUAACUUAGUGGCGAACGGGUGAGUAACGCGUGAACAACCUGCCCCAUAGAGGGGGAUAACAACGAGAAAUCGUUGCUAAUACCGCAUAAGACCACGCUAUCGCAUGAUAGAGGGGUCAAAGAUUUAUCGCUAUGAGAGGGGUUCGCGUCCCAUUAGGUAGUAGGCGGGGUAACGGCCCACCUAGCCGACGAUGGGUAGCCGAGCUGAGAGGCUGAUCGGCCACACUGGAACUGAGACACGGUCCAGACUCCUACGGGAGGCAGCAGUGGGGAAUAUUGCGCAAUGGGCGCAAGCCUGACCCAGCAACCCGCGUGAGGGAAGAAGGUUUCGGAUUGUAAACCUCUGUCCUAGGUGACGAAGGAAGUGACGGUAGCCAAGGAGGAAGCCCCGGCUAACUACGUGCCAGCAGCCCGGUAAUACGUAGGGGGCGAGCGUUGUCGGAAUUACUGGGCGUAAAGGGUGAGUAGGCGGUUUUUUAAGUUGGAUGUGAAAUACCCGGGCUUAACUUGGGGGGUGCAUUCAAAACUGGGGAACUAGAGUACAGGAGAGGAAAGCGGAAUUCCUAGUGUAGCGGUGAAAUGCGUAGAUAUUAGGAGGAACACCGGUGGGAAGGCGGCUUUCUGGACUGAAACUGACGCUGAGGCACGAAAGCGUGGGGAGCAAACAG